GCCGGGGUGGCGGAAUGGUUUACGCGGAAGACUUAAAAUCUUUGACCUUCACAGGUUUGUGGGUUCGAGUCCCACCCCCGGCACUA
rnacentral:tRNA from 1 species